UGAGCUUAAGGUUGACCCUCUGAAAUGC
rnacentral:piRNA from 1 species